UUAAAUUGUAAAAUAUUUAUACAUAAUUGUAGCACUUGUUGUAUUGCCUUUAUACGGAUUUAAAUAAAAUAUGAUAACAGUAUUUUUUAUUGUAUUACAGUACUGAAAUAUAAAUAUUUAUAAAUAUAUAUAUAAAUAAAUAUUAUGGUAAGGAGAAUUUGAGAGUUAAAGAUGUUUUUUUUUUCUAUGAAGAACAAUGUCUAAAUGCAAAAAUGUUAUAUGUAUAUGUAAUUAUCUAUAAUUAAAAAAAAAAAAUAUAUAUAUAUAUUAUGUAAAUGAGAAUUUGAAGGGUAAAUAUGUUUAACUAUCAUGAAAUUAAACGUGUAAGUGCAAAAACAUUCUAAAAUUAAUUAAUUAAAUAUAAUUAUAUAAUAUAAUGAAAUUAUAUAUAAUUAAAUAUAAUGAUACACAAUUGCAUUUUAAUUAUAUAUAAUUUAUAUAAUAUAUAUUUUUGAACAAUAUUUAAGGCUACAUGUGUUUGUAAAAUAAUUGUCUACAUGUAAAAAUAUAAUAAACAAUUUAACUACAAAAAUAUAUUAUGUAACACACAAAUAUAUAUAUAUAUAUUAAAUACAAAAAUAAAUAUUCUAUUCUAUAUAUACACGCAUAGAUAUACAUAUAAAAAAAAAAAAAAAUAUUCUAUUCUAUAUAUACACGCAUAGAUAUACAUAUAAAAAAAUUAGUUUCAAAGGUCGGUAACAGUCAAGCAGCAUUAUAAAAUUAUGCAAAUCUAAAUAAAAUAGUGAUAAACUAUUUCAUGUUUUCAGAUAACCAUGGUUUUAAUCUGAGCAGCAGAAACACAGAAGCACCUGCUGGAGGAUGCUGGGAUAGCAGAGGUCACACAGGGCACAUAUGCAUUGAGCAGCUGGUAACACGCGUGAACCACAGCGCCACGACACUAUCAGCAGGUGAGCGUCAUCUCACACACUGGCUGCAAAAUUAAUUUUACACUGAAAUGGAGUCUGUUUGACACUAAAACACUGCUUUAGAGUCACACAGCAUUCUGUUACUCCUGAAAACUAGUCUAAUAAACAAACAAAAGCAGAUAAAUACA
ensembl:lncRNA